rnacentral:rRNA from 1 species
UNUGACUUGAGUGCAGAAGGGGAGAGUGGAAUUCCAUGUGUAGCGGUGAAAUGCGUAGAUAUAUGGAGGAACACCAGUGGCGAAAGCGGCUCUCUGGUCUGUCACUGACGCUGAGGCUCGAAAGCGUGGGUAGCGAACAGGAUUAGAUACCCUGGUAGUCCACGCCGUAAACGAUGAGUGCUAGGUGUUAGGCCCUUUCCGGGGCUUAGUGCCGGAGCUAACGCAAUAAGCACUCCGCCUGGGGAGUACGACCGCAAGGUUGAAACUCAAAGGAAUUGACGGGGGCCCGCACAAGCGGUGGAGCAUGUGGUUUAAUUCGAAGCAACGCGAAGAACCUUACCAGGUCUUGACAUCCCGAUGCUAUUCUUAGAGAUAGGAAGUUACUUCGGUACAUCGGAGACAGGUGGUGCAUGGUUGUCGUCAGCUCGUGUCGUGAGAUGUUGGGUUAAGUCCCGCAACGAGCGCAACCCUUAUUGUUAGUUGCCAUCAUUAAGUUGGGCACUCUAGCGAGACUGCCGGUAAUAAGCCGGAGGAAGGUGGGGAUGACGUCAAAUCAUCAUGCCCCUUGUGACCUGGGCUACACACGUGCUACA